rnacentral:rRNA from 1 species
AUUGAACGCUGGCGGCAGGCUUAACACAUGCAAGUCGAGCGGAGAUGAGGUGCUUGCACCUUAUCUUAGCGGCGGACGGGUGAGUAAUGCUUAGGAAUCUGCCUAUUAGUGGGGGACAACAUUCCGAAAGGAAUGCUAAUACCGCAUACGUCCUACGGGAGAAAGCAGGGGAUCUUCGGACCUUGCGCUAAUAGAUGAGCCUAAGUCGGAUUAGCUAGUUGGUGGGGUAAAGGCCUACCAAGGCGACGAUCUGUAGCGGGUCUGAGAGGAUGAUCCGCCACACUGGGACUGAGACACGGCCCAGACUCCUACGGGAGGCAGCAGUGGGGAAUAUUGGACAAUGGGGGGAACCCUGAUCCAGCCAUGCCGCGUGUGUGAAGAAGGCCUUAUGGUUGUAAAGCACUUUAAGCGAGGAGGAGGCUACUGAGAUUAAUACUCUAGGAUAGUGGACGUUACUCGCAGAAUAAGCACCGGCUAACUCUGUGCCAGCCGCCGCAGUAACAC